GACAGAGGUGCCAAGCGUUAGGCGGAAUCACUGGGCUUAAAGCGUGUGUAGGCGGACUUCUAAGUACCUUGUGAAAUCCCACGGCUCAACCGUGGAACUGCUCGGUAUACUGGUUGUCUUGAGCCACUUAGGGGCUACCGGAACAAACGGUGGAGCGGUGAAAUGCGUAGAUAUCGUUUGGAACGCCAAUGGUGAAAACAGGUAACUGGGAGUGUGCCGACGCUGAGACACGAAAGCCAGGGGAGCGAACGGU
rnacentral:rRNA from 1 species